rnacentral:antisense_RNA from 1 species
UUUCAGGGCGCCCAGCAGCAGCGGGCCGGUGCCGUUGCGGUCCUGCCCGUAGGUGGCGAGCAGGGCCUGGGCCUC